AACACUCUCAACUAUUUCUAGGCAGAACCUUCCUCUUUCUUCACUUCAUCUGCACUUGACUUUGAAGGAGGCAGCGGCGACGGAGAGCCCUCGACACCCAUCUCGGCCUUUAGGUCGUUGAUGCUCUGCUCCAAUUCAUUUAUGCGGCUCCCCAUCUCAUCGAUCUUUGUGAUAAUGGAGUCAGACAUGGUUUGGAACCUAG
rnacentral:misc_RNA from 1 species